UGAUACUAAGCCAUGCGAGUCGUUGUAGCAAUACAAGGCAUACGGCUCAGUAACGCGUAGUCAACCUAACCUAUGGACGGGAAUAACCUCGGGAAACUGAGAAUAAUGCCCGAUAGAACAUUAUGCCUGGAAUGGUUUAUGUUCCAAAUGAUUUAUCGCCGUAGGAUGGGACUGCGGCCUAUCAGUUUGUUGGUGAGGUAAUGGCCCACCAAGACUAUUACAGGUACGGGCUCUGAGAGGAGUAGCCCGGAGAUGGGUACUGAGACACGGACCCAGGCCCUAUGGGGCGCAGCAGGCGAGAAAACUUUGCAAUGUGCGAAAGCACGACAAGGUUAAUCCGAGUGGUUUCUGCUAAAGGAACCUUUUGUCAGUCCUAGAAACACUGAUGAAUAAGGGGUGGGCAAGUUCUGGUGUCAGCCGCCGCGGUAAAACCAGCACCUCAAGUGGUCAGGAUGAUUAUUGGGCCUAAAGCAUCCGUAGCCGGCUCUGUAAGUUUUCGGUUAAAUCUGUACGCUCAACGUACAGGCUGCCGGGAAUACUGCAAAGCUAGGGAGUGGGAGAGGUAGACGGUACUCGGUAGGAAGGGGUAAAAUCCUUUGAUCUAUUGAUGACCACCUGUGGCGAAGGCGGUCUACCAGAACACGUCCGACGGUGAGGGAUGAAAGCUGGGGGAGCAAACCGGAUUAGAUACCCGGGUAGUCCCAGCUGUAAACCAUGCAAACUCAGUGAUGCAUUGGCUUGUGGCCAAUGCAGUGCCGCAGGGAAGCCGUUAAGUUUGCCGCCUGGGAAGUACGUACGCAAGUAUGAAACUUAAAGGAAUUGGCGGGGGAGCACCACAAGGGGUGAAGCCUGCGGUUCAAUUGG
rnacentral:rRNA from 1 species